rnacentral:rRNA from 1 species
UACGUAGGGUGCAAGCGUUGUCCGGAAUUAUUGGGCGUAAAGAGCUUGUAGGCGGUUUGUCGCGUCUGCUGUGAAAUUUCGGGGCUCAACCCCGAACUUGCAGUGGGUACGGGCAGACUAGAGUGCGGUAGGGGAGACUGGAAUUCCUGGUGUAGCGGUGAAAUGCGCAGAUAUCAGGAGGAACACCGGUGGCGAAGGCGGGUCUCUGGGUCGUAACUGACGCUGAGGAGCGAAAGCAUGGGGAGCGAACAGG